GGCCUUGAAAAGACAAGUGUGCAUUCUGAUUCGUAGCAGAAGGAAGGAGAAAAUAUCCACUCUGUCCGGAGGCUGAUGGCCAGCUGCGAGCUUCUGAUGAAACAGGAGGCGCGCCAAAGGAUUGGAGGGAGCCUCUGGGCUGUUGUAAAGAUUACAUCAAAACAGUGACACAUGUGAACCACUUUGUACACUAUACAAAUGUGGCAAAGGGUCAGAAGCAGGCUGACAGGACUUUCGCCAUCGGGCAACCAGCUCAUCUACAAAGUGCUUCUUUUUACCAUCUGUACCCUGGAUUAGGUCAGCUACAUACUCUCGUAUCUCCUCCUCAGUCUCAAUAGACAAGAUAUACCUGUGAAAAGGCAGAAAAAAAGCACAUUUGUGGGAGUGCCUCAACCAACAGACAAAACAAAGACGGAAUUCCAUAUUCUGCUGAUAGUUAGCUUUUUUUAUCUAUGCUGUUUUCAUACUAACGCUAUGGCAACAUGGGACAUUUGUAAGAAAUUAGAUACUUUGGAAUUCUCCCUUCACAAGUGAGGAAUGGAGAACUCAGAAGUCAUCAGAAGUCUAGGUUCUAUACCUUAUGCCUGGCAUGUUUUGUUCCUCCAAGACUCAUGAAGCACACACGGACAAGAAAUGAAAAGUUAACAGUAUUUAUUCUCACCCAAAUCCUGAUAGUAUUCAGUAGGCAGAAGCAAAAAACAAUUCUGAAUUCAGUCAGUACACCUCAAUCAAUUUACAGAGGUUUUUUUAUGGUUAGAAAUUGAAAGCUAAUGGUUUGUUAUUUUUAUAAUACCUCUUCCUGUUUCUCGCAGUUACACGUUGUGGUUGCUUCUCUGUCUGACUCUCCUGAGCUCCUUCCUCUUCUUCCUCCCCCUUCUCCCAAAAUAAUUCAACAGCUUCUUUCUUAUACUCAGUUGUGGAGUCACCCCCACAACCCCGCUUCCCCCUUCUUCCCAACAAUGAUUGGUCAAAAGAAUCCACACCACGGCUAACCUAUAACCCAAUUUGUCACCCUUUUUGGCAUAUCGACCCAUUGGUCAAUUCCUGAAUGUGCAUAAAUGAAACCUACAAAAACUGCAUCGUAGGUGUUUUGAUCAAAACUCAUGCAAACAUUGUGGUUUGAGUAUGUUCUGUUCUAAUGUCUGCAAAGUAAAAUCUAGACCAAAUCGGGGAAGUGUCCUGUCGUGUGACCUGAAAUAUCAUCAUUUGGCAUUUCAGUCUGAAAAGGCACCUCAUGAUAGCUUGGAAACAUGUGUGGCCAUAGCACACCGGUCAUCUCAGGCCAAAAAAGCCUGACUCUCCUAAAACCAAUGGCAAGCACACUGGUCAACUUGGCCAUAGAAAAAGAAAAUGCCCUAUCCUUUGUCUAACAUCUUCCCCCCUUGGUAAAUAGGAUUAUUUUAUAAUACUAGUUUAACGAACCUAAACAUUCGAUAUUUGUCAGCAAUAAACAAAUACAUUGAAUAUGAAUGGAUACAAAGUACAAAAAUGAAUACAUAAGUUUGAGCAAGCAUGAUAUGAGAAUAUAUGUGUUUCAGCCAUAUUGCAAUAAACAAAUAUAUUGAUAAUUUGACAAACAUAAGCCUCAUCCAUCAAUGAGGUCGAUAUGCCAAUUUCUAACCAUAAGAAAAAAAUCUGUAAAUUGAUUGAGGUGUACUGACUGAAUUCAGAAUUGUUUCUUGCUUCUGCCUACUGAAUACUAUCAGGAUUUGGGUGAAAAUAAAUACUGUUAAAUUUUCAUUUCUUGUCUGUGUGUGUUUCAUGAGUCUUGGAGGAACAAAACAUGCCACGCCUAAAGUAUAGAACCUAGACUUCUGAGUUCUCCAUUCCCCACUUUUGAAGGGAGAAUUCCAAAGUAUUUAAUUUCUGACACAAGUAUGUUCUUUCCUUCAUGUUUCUAUACUGAUCAAAAACUGUAAUAAAACUGUACUGGUCAAAGACUGAACAAA